rnacentral:rRNA from 1 species
GGGAGCUUGCUCCCUGAUGUUAGCGGCGGACGGGUGAGUAACACGUGGGUAACCUGCCUGUAAGACUGGGAUAACUCCGGGAAACCGGGGCUAAUACCGGAUGGUUGUCUGAACCGCAUGGUUCAGACAUAAAAGGUGGCUUCGGCUACCACUUACAGAUGGACCCGCGGCGCAUUAGCUAGUUGGUGAGGUAACGGCUCACCAAGGCGACGAUGCGUAGCCGACCUGAGAGGGUGAUCGGCCACACUGGGACUGAGACACGGCCCAGACUCCUACGGGAGGCAGCAGUAGGGAAUCUUCCGCAAUGGACGAAAGUCUGACGGAGCAACGCCGCGUGAGUGAUGAAGGUUUUCGGAUCGUAAAGCUCUGUUGUUAGGGAAGAACAAGUGCCGUUCAAAUAGGGCGGCACCUUGACGGUACCUAACCAGAAAGCCACGGCUAACUACGUGCCAGCAGCCGCGGUAAUACGUAGGUGGCAAGCGUUGUCCGGAAUUAUUGGGCGUAAAGGGCUCGCAGGCGGUUUCUUAAGUCUGAUGUGAAAGCCCCCGGCUCAACCGGGGAGGGUCAUUGGAAACUGGGGAACUUGAGUGCAGAAGAGGAGAGUGGAAUUCCACGUGUAGCGGUGAAAUGCGUAGAGAUGUGGAGGAACACCAGUGGCG